rnacentral:tRNA from 1 species
GCUACUGUAGCUUUAGUUGGUAGAGCGAUUGAUUCGUAAUCAAUAGGUCGGCGGUUCGAGUCCGCCCUGUAGCUCCA